GACGAACGCUGGCGGCGUGCUUAACACAUGCAAGUCGAACGGGCCUGUCUUCUUUUUUGGGGGGUGGGUUGAGUGGCGAACGGGUGAGUAUCACGUGAGUAACCUGCCCUUCGGUCCUGGAUAACCGCUUGAAAGGGCGGCUAAUACGGGGUGGUCCGGUUGGUCCGCAUGGGCUGGUCGGGAUAGAUUCACUGUUUUUGGUGUUUCGGCGGGGGAUGGGCUCGCGGCCUAUCAGCUUGUUGGUGGGGUGAUGGCCUACCAAGGCGGUGACGGGUAGCCGGCCUGGGAGGGUGGGCGGCCACACUGGGACUGAGAUACGGCCCAGACUCCUGCGGGAGGCAGCAGUGGGGGGUAUUGCACAAUGGGCGGAAGCCUGAUGCAGCGACGUCGCGUGAGGGAGGGAGGCCUUCGGGUUGUGAACCUCUGUUUCCGGUGGUGAAGGCCCUGUCCGUGUGGUGGGGUUGACGGUAGCCGGGGAUGAAGCGCCGGCUAACUACGUG
rnacentral:rRNA from 1 species